ACGCACGCUGGCGGCGUGCUUCACACAUGCCAGUCGAACGGAAAGGCCCUGCUUUUGUGGGGUGCUCGAGUGGCGAACGGGUGAGUAACACGUGAGUAACCUGCCCUUGACUUUGGGAUAACUUCAGGAAACUGGGGCUAAUACCGGAUAGGAGCUCCUGCUGCAUGGUGGGGGUUGGAAAGUUUCGGCGGUUGGGGAUGGACUCGCGGCUUAUCAGCUUGUUGGUGGGGUAGUGGCUUACCAAGGCUUUGACGGGUAGCCGGCCUGAGAGGGUGACCGGCCACAUUGGGACGGAGAAACGGCCCAGACCCCGAGGGGGGGGAGGGGUGGGGAAUAUGGCACAAGGGGGGGAAGCCGGAGGCAGCAACGCCGGGGGCGGGAUGACGGCCUUCGGGUUGGAAACCGCUUUCGCCUGUGACGAAGCGUGAGUGAAGGUAAUGGGGAAAGAAGCACCGGCUAACUACGG
rnacentral:rRNA from 1 species